UAGCUAGUUGGUGAGGUAAAGGCUUACCAAGGCGACGAUCUGUAGCGGGUCUGAGAGGAUGAUCCGCCACACUGGAACUGAGACACGGUCCAGACUCCUACGGGAGGUAGCAGUGGGGAAUUUUGGACAAUGGGGGCAACCCUGAUCCAGCCAUGCCGCGUGAGUGAAGAAGGCCUUCGGGUUGUAAAGCUCUUUCGGCCGGGAAGAAAUCGCAUGGGCCAAUACCCUGUGUGGAUGACGGUACCGGAAUAAGAAGCACCGGCUAACUACGUGCCAGCAGCCGCGGUAAUACGUAGGGUGCGAGCGUUAAUCGGAAUUACUGGGCGUAAAGCGUGCGCAGGCGGUUUUGUAAGACAGGCGUGAAAUCCCCGGGCUUAACCUGGGAACUGCGUUUGUGACUGCAAGGCUAGAGUACGGCAGAGGGGGGUGGAAUUCCACGUGUAGCAGUGAAAUGCGUAGAGAUGUGGAGGAACACCAAUGGCGAAGGCAGCCCCCUGGGUCGAUACUGACGCUCAUGCACGAAAGCGUGGGUAGCAAACAGGAUUAGAUACCCUGGUAGUCCACGCCCUAAACUAUGUCAACUAGGUGUUGGGUGGGUAAAACCAUUUAGUACCGUAGCUAACGCGUGAAGUUGACCGCCUGGGGAGUACGGCCGCAAGGUUAAAACUCAAAGGAAUUGACGGGGACCCGCACAAGCGGUGGAUGAUGUGGAUUAAUUCGAUGCAACGCGAAAAACCUUACCUACCCUUGACAUGCCAGGAACUUGCCAGAGAUGGCUUGGUGCCCGAAAGGGAGCCUGGACACAGGUGCUGCAUGGCUGUCGUCAGCUCGUGUCGUGAGAUGUUGGGUUAAGUCCCGCAACGAGCGCAACCCUUGUCGUUAAUUGCCAUCAUUUAGUUGGGCACUUUAACGAGACUGCCGGUGACAAACCGGAGGAAGGUGGGGAUGACGUCAAGUCCUCAUGGCCCUUAUGGGUAGGGCUUCACACGUCAUACAAUGGUCGGUACAAAGGGUUGCCAAGCCGCGAGGCGGAGCCAAUCCCAGAAAGCCGAUCGUAGUCCGGAUUGCAGGCUGCAACUCGCCUGCAUGAAGUCGGAAUCGCUAGUAAUCGUGGAUCAGCAUGUCACGGUGGAUACGUUCCCGGGUCUUGUACACACCGCCCGUCACACCAUGGGAGCGGGUUCCGCCAGAAGUAGGUAGCCUAACCGCAAGGGGGGCGCUUACCACGGCGGGGUUCGUGACUGGGGUGAAGUCGAAACAAGGUAGCCGUAGGGGAACCUGCGGCUG
rnacentral:rRNA from 1 species